GCGGCGUGCCUAAUACAUGCAAGUCGAGCGAAUCGAUGGGAGCUUGCUCCCUGAGAUUAGCGGCGGACGGGUGAGUAACACGUGGGCAACCUGCCUAUAAGACUGGGAUAACUUCGGGAAACCGGAGCUAAUACCGGAUACGUUCUUUUCUCGCAUGAGAGAAGAUGGAAAGACGGUUUACGCUGUCACUUAUAGAUGGGCCCGCGGCGCAUUAGCUAGUUGGUGAGGUAAUGGCUCACCAAGGCGACGAUGCGUAGCCGACCUGAGAGGGUGAUCGGCCACACUGGGACUGAGACACGGCCCAGACUCCUACGGGAGGCAGCAGUAGGGAAUCUUCCGCAAUGGACGAAAGUCUGACGGAGCAACGCCGCGUGAACGAAGAAGGCCUUCGGGUCGUAAAGUUCUGUUGUUAGGGAAGAACAAGUACCAGAGUAAC
rnacentral:rRNA from 2 species